UUUGACGUUACCUACAGAAGAAGCACCGGCUAACUCCGUGCCAGCAGCCGCGGUAAUACGGAGGGUGCGAGCGUUAAUCGGAAUUACUGGGCGUAAAGCGCAUGCAGGCGGCCUGUUAAGUCAGAUGUGAAAGACCCGGGGCGUUAACCUCGGAAUUGCAUUUGAAACUGGCAGGCUAGAGUCUUGUAGAGGGGGGUAGGAAGUUUCUAGGUGUAGCGGUGAAAUAGCGUAGAGAUCUGAAGGAAUACCAGUGGCGAAGGCGGCCCCCUCGGACAAAGACUGACGCUCAGAUGCGAAAGCGUGGGGAGCAAACAGGAUUAGAUACCCUGGUAG
rnacentral:rRNA from 1 species